rnacentral:lncRNA from 1 species
GGAUGUGUCAAAGGUCUCUAGGGCAGAGAGAGAAGGUCAUGUCAAAACCACACACUGGCCAGUAAAACAUCUUUUAUAAAAUGUGAUGAAGAAUUGUCUCUGAGAAAAUGAAUUUUCAAAAGGGAGAGCAAGAGCAUAGGAAGAGCAAGAUCUAAAAUACUUUCUACUGAAGACACCAAAGAAAAGAAAAUAAUAUGCAUGAUAGAGCAAUUUCUGCAACUAUUGACAGGACAACCAGAGAAAUCUGCACAGACACGAAAGAUGUCUUCUGAACAGUGGUGAAUAAAAAGAAAAAAAAAAAAGAAGUGAACUGCAAACUUAAAUAGUACUCUGCUCAUCACACACCAAGACUCCACUGUCACCACUACCAGGCUUACACUGACCACUCACAUCUCAAGGUCAGAUGCUUCCUCCAGAGCCCACAAUUAUUCUACUUCCUCCUCCAUUUGGUCUUCAGUGAAUUAUCACAAAAAUAUGACAAGACCUGGAACCAGCAGAAGUCACAACCACCAAAGCCUUCAUUCAGGUUAAUAUGUUUAUAAA